UACGUAGGGGGCAAGCGUUGUCCGGAAUCAUUGGGCGUAAAGCGCGUGUAGGCGGUUACGUAAGUCUGCUGUGAAAGUCGGAGGCUCAACCUUCGAAAGCCGGUGGAUACUGCGUGACUUGAGUACGGAAGAGGCAAGUGGAAUUCCUGGUGUAGCGGUGAAAUGCGCAGAUAUCAGGAGGAACACCAACGGCGAAGGCAGCUUGCUGGGACGUUACUGACGCUGAGACGCGAAAGCGUGGGGAGCAAACAGG
rnacentral:rRNA from 1 species